GUUUAGGUUACUGUCAUUCAUAUUCACCCAGUUCAAUGUAACAGUGAUGGGUUUAGGUUACUGUCAUUCAUAUUCACCCAGUUCAAUGUAACAGUGAUAGGUUUAGGCUACUGUCAUUCAUAUUCACCCAGUUCAAUGUAACAGUGAUGGGUUUAGGUUACUGUCAUUCAUAUUCACCCAGUUCAAUGUAACAGUGAUAGGUUUAGGCUAC